rnacentral:sRNA from 1 species
AUGUAUUCUCGGUGACCUUCUGCUCAGUUCUUUGGUGCCAGCACACACUUGCUUCAUGAAGUGACCCUGUGGUUUCCUCCCCCGACAGAUCUAUCCGUAUGACUCCCUCAUCGUCACAAACCGAAUUCGCGUGAAACUGCCCAAAGACGUGGACCGGACGAGACUGGAGAGACACUUGUCGCCCGAGGAGUUCCAGGAAGUGUUUGGGAUGAGCAUUGAGGAGUUUGACCGCCUGGCCCUCUGGAAGAGGAAUGACCUUAAGAAGAAAGCCCUGUUGUUCUGACGGCCGCCAGCCUGCCCCACCGGUGUGUGCCGGAUGCCAAGGCGAGGGGCCCCUGGCGAAAACCACGCACACCCCUCCCACACACCUUGCUCUGGCUUCUCUGUGUCGAUGGGGUGGGCGGGAGGGGGUCCCCAGCAGGUGCGGCCCCUGUGCCUGCCAGCGACGCUCCUGCCCGUAGUUUAGGGCCGAGACGGCUAGCUUCACACCACCCUUCCCCGCUGUGGCUUGGUGUCAGGGAGAGGCUGCAGAGUGGCUGUGUCAGGCAUCAGACAGAGCACACAGGUGGCUGCAACCCAGCCCACCUUCCCAGUGUUCUUGAGGUGCCCUGGCCCCGGUGCUAGGCACGUGGGGGACAGAGGUGGCCGGGAUGUGAGCUGUGAGGCUUGUUGAUGACAGGUGCUGACACCAUCAUCGGGGGUGGGCACACGGCCCUUCGGAGCCUGGGCAGCCUGGCCUCACAGGCAGACUCGCGGAUGGGGCAGCAAGCGUCUGGGACAGUGCCAAGAGUGGGGUGUGUGAUUUUUGCAGGCGUUUGUGAUGGGUCUCUUUAGGGACAAAUGUCAACAAAGGACAAGACAGGGCACCUUCCACCAGCGCCCCCCCAUGCGCUGCGUUCCUCUUCCAGAUCGCCCCCUAGAUGCCUACACGAUAUCUUUAAAGUAACACAGAAGUUUUUAUUUUAUUAAAAAGUAUAGCCUACUGAAACGCGAGAUGACAUAUAUAGAGUUUAAUUUUACGGUCCCUCCGCAGGGGAGCGGCCUCCAGCCUUAUUCUCCACCGCUCGGAUCUGUGUGGUUUCAGUCUGUUCUUGGUGUGGUCCUCAUACGUAGUGCUCCCUGUCUGGUUUCUUUUCUCUUUCGUUUUUCUUUUUCUCGUCACACAGGUAACCUUAAAGACAGACCCCUCUAAAUAACGCUUUGUAAAUACAUGUGAAGUAUAGCCACCACUGUUUUCCUUGCUGUUAUUUUUCCAAGUCUUGGAGAGAAAACAUCAUCCUCUGAUGGCCAAAGCCCUGGAAUCAAGGGUUUCCACGUACCCUGCCUAAUACCCGACGUAGCUCUUGAUGCACCAUCCUUGUGCUGUGACUGGCGGUGUCUCAGCCUGAAACAUAAACCCCACACGCCCCAGGAGCGAUAUGCUCCCUGAAACAGACAACCACACGCUGUUAGGGAGAGAAGGAUGGAGAUAGGAUGGAGAUAUGGCUCUUCUCAUCUUCGAAGCCAGCAGGGCAUCCCGGAGCAGGAGGCUAGCCGGGCUCCCCAAGCGAAGGCGUUGGUAUCUGUCAUUAGGCAUGUGUUAGGUUGCAGCGCCGGCCGUCACAGGAUGCUGAUAAGUGCGCUGAGAGGUGGCUGAAACACCAAAGUCUGUUUCCCCGUCUGCAGUGGGUGUUGCCUCUUUGUGUGUGUCCCGAGGUUCCUGCCUGUGAGUCGGCCUUACUCUGCUUCCUUAGCGCCCAUGACACGCCAAGUCCUGUUUCGCACUCGGCUUCUCACCCGCCUGGCUCGGCUAGGGAGAGGGAGUUUUUAGCACCUAAUAUGCUUCCUGCCAUUGCGCAAUCUGAGCCUGAGCAACUGGAAACCCCCAUUUCUCAUUAGUGCAAUGUCAUAUCUGAUCCCAGGAAGCCUGGAAAAUAAAAGACGAUGCAUUAU